rnacentral:sRNA from 1 species
GAGAAAAAGCCCAGCCCUGAUAUUAUUUAUUUUGUUCUCUAAUCAUAACAUGUAUUGGCAUAAUGCUAAAUGUUAUCAAAGAAUAACUGUUUUUUUUAUUUAAUAUCAAUUCAAUCACUAUAUUCUAGUGUGUAGGAAAUGUUUGGUAACUUCAUUGAAAAUAAUUAGUUCAUUAGACGGGUUAAAUUUCAGCCAUUUUUGAUAUGCAUAGCAGUUUUGGGGCUUUUUAAAUUAAAAUUUUAAAUUAUUUUUAUAUUUGACCAGAUUAAUUUACUUUCAAUUAUCAAUGUUGCAGUGAUAUAUGUAUGAUUUGUUUUUUUGCUGGGUCACAAACAUUACAUGUAGUAAUUUAGUAAUAUUCAGAGUGAACGUUUAUUAUGUAGAGUGAAAGAUAAUGAGUAAAACUAUUCAUUAUGUUUUUCUAUUGGUGUAUAUAUAUUAGUAUGUUAUACGAACAUAUUACAUAAUUGUUGCUCAUUCCAUUUGAUUUUUUGUUCUGCACAAACCUAUGAAAUAGGUAACAUUGCCUAGUGUGUAGAUUUCAUUUCAAUUUUAGUAAAUUAUUACUUUAAGUACUACCGGUAGUUACUAUUAUUUCAAGAAAUUUUCAUAUCUGAAAAAAAAAAUCAGAAAAAAUUCAAAGGUUUAAAUUAUCUCCUAUAUAUUUUGUUCAAGAUAACAAGUUUGAAUAAUGAUUUUUUUGCUUACUAUUUUACCCAAUGUUGUUUUUUUUUAUUAAGGAAUUAUAUCAAAUAAAUCAAACUUAAGUUUAAUGUUAAACUACUCCAGGUUAUUGCAGUGAAUCAGCUGCUAGUAAUUGACUGGACAGUCUUUAGUUUCAUGUUAAAUUUGUUUGGUCCUUUAGAAACCUUAUUACUUUUUUUAUUAUUAUGGUUUAUAUAAUUGCUAGUAUAUUUGUGACAACAUGUAUAUGAUGCUGGUGAUGUAACAGCUUGGUUUCUAUGCACAUAAGGAUUAUGUAGGAUUUAUUUUUGUUCAUUACUUUGAAUUAAAAUGAUUCAAACAUUU